rnacentral:sRNA from 1 species
CGGCCUGCUGUGGCGAGAUGAAGUGAACGUGACCGUCGAUAGCCGCUGCGGUGAGGAUGAGGUGCUCGCCCGAGAUAGCAUCGGUGGCUGCACCCGUAACCAGAUCGGGAUCAACGCCAUCCAUCGUGUUGGGGUUGCCCGACUUGCCAAUGCCCGCGAUUUUACCAUCCUUGAUACCCACAUCGGCCUUCACAACGCCCAGCAGAGGGUCAAUAAUAGUCACAUUGGUGAUAACCAAAUCCAACGCACCCGCCUUUGAGGUGAUAGUGUUCGCCAGACCCAUACCGUCACGC